UCUUCUUUGGUUCCUUCACGCGAGAAUUCCAGCCUAGCACCGCCUGCGGCGGCAGCCGCUAGGGCCAGGGCCUGAUGGCUAGGGUGUGCGCUGGACCCUGCAGCGCGGCGGAGCACAGUGGCCAGGAGCCGGCCGGAAGAGGCACCGUACCGGGAGUUUCUCCUCGGCCGCCGCCGCAUAGGCCGCUAUCAAUACCUCCCCGUUAUUUACUGUACCUUUGACCUUCCGUUUCUUGUUCUGGAUCUUCGUGAUUUGUGUUUUUGGUUGGAUGAAUCUAGUCAUUGGGUGCUGUUGCUCGCAGGCUGCAGCCAUGGAAGAUCCCGGAGGAAGAUUGACGCCAACGGAUGCCGAUCUUGAAUAGAACGAUCAAGGAUGAGGUUUCCCGAUCUUAAACUGUGAUUCUAGUACACAUUCUAGAUCAGAACUUCUGAUUUUAGCAGGUGGUAACUGGUAACUGAAAAACUUGCACGGUUAUUAAGUUUCCAUACCUGGAUACAACAAUCCUUAGCAUCUUCACAAGAGUACGGGAAACUAAGAACGCCGUUGCUAAGGCUGGUCGUUAUCAAGUGGGUUCGAUUCUAAUCACUGGGGAUUUAUGUUCAGGAAUCAGGAAUUCUUCUCUCCACUUCAGUUGAAACUUCAAGCUCUGACCUGGUGGCCUACCCUGCCAGCAGCCUCGCUCACACGGGCGUUACAGUUCGUUGCCAAGACGCCAAAUACCCAGUUGGCGGCGCCGGGGAGCGUGCUGCAGCUGUAGGUGUUCCACCUCAGUUCUUCAUAGACCUGGUAGACGGGGAGUAGGAGGAGAAGCAGAUGCCGGUUCCGCAGUGGCGAUGGCUACAGCCAUGGGACGGAUGAUCUUCGUGGGAGAUUGAGGCCCGCGUGGAUGCCGAUCUUUUCUGGAGCCCCAUGAGAGCCGGGAGACGAGUUCGUGAACGAGGAACCUGUUGAGUACGCUUACGAGG